AGAGUUUGAUCCUGGCUCAGGAUGAACGCUAGCGGGAGGCCUAACACAUGCAAGCCGAGCGGGAUUUGUUGGUUAGCUUGCUAACUGAUGAUGAGAGCGGCGUACGGGUGCGGAACAUGUGUGCAAUCUGCCCUUAUCAAGGGGAUAGCCCAGAGAAAUCUGGAUUAAUACCCUAUAACAUAUGGGAUGGCAUCAUUUCAUAUUAAAAGCUACGGCGGAUAAGGAUGAGCACGCACAAGAUUAGCUAGUUGGUAAGGUAACGGCUUACCAAGGCGACGAUCUUUAGGGGGCCUGAGAGGGUGAUCCCCCACACUGGGACUGAGACACGGCCCAGACUCCUACGGGAGGCAGCAGUGAGGAAUAUUGGACAAUGGGUGGAAGCCUGAUCCAGCCAUCCCGCGUGCAGGACGACUGCCCUAUGGGUUGUAAACUGCUUUUAUAUAGGGAUAAACCUACUCUCGUGAGAGUAGCUGAAGGUACUAUAUGAAUAAGCACCGGCUAACUCCGUGCCAGCAGCCGCGGUAAUACGGAGGGUGCAAGCGUUAUCCGGAUUUAUUGGGUUUAAAGGGUCCGUAGGUGGGUUGGUAAGUCAGUGGUGAAAUCCUGCAGCUUAACUGUAGAAUUGCCAUUGAUACUGCUAAUCUUGAGUGUAUUUGAAGUAGCUGGAAUAAGUAGUGUAGCGGUGAAAUGCAUAGAUAUUACUUAGAACACCAAUAGCGAAGGCAGGUUACUAAGAUAUUACUGACGCUGAGGGACGAGAGCGUAGGGAGCGAACAGGAUUAGAUACCCUGGUAGUCUACGCUGUAAACGAUGCUAACUCGUUUUUGGUAUUUAGGUAUCAGAGACUAAGCGAAAGUGAUAAGUUAGCCACCUGGGGAGUACGCUCGCAAGA
rnacentral:rRNA from 1 species